rnacentral:SRP_RNA from 1 species
GGGUAAGUCCUAUACGACCAGCUCCUGCUGAACCCCCCCAGGACCGGAAGGUAGCAAGGGUAAGUAGUUGAGCGGUGCGAUGUAGGGUGCUUGCCCCUU